UAGAAGCUCCCAUUCGACCCGCCUCCCAUUCGAACAGCUACCCUUUUUCCGACAAAAUAACAAAACUAUCCAGGUAUAUAUACCUAUCCCUUGACACCCCUUUCUCCCUCUAAACCCACGAUCACUACGCCUCUGAUUUCAGUCUCCACCACGACCACCGCUGUCCACCAUAACCACCGUUCGCUUUUGAGGGUGGAGCAACCUAUGGCUCCUGACAUCUCCGAUCAUAAUGUCUCCCGCGGUGGUGGCUCCGCUUUUUGCCGCCGUGACAUCAUCUUCGUCGUCAAUCCCUGAGGUUUCUUUCUUUCUUUCUCCCUGUCUCUCUCUAAAGUCUUCGUCAAAAUCGGCCAUAUAGGGUUGGACCCUGUCCUGCCCACAGCCCCAAUUAUUCUCAAAUCUCAAUCUACUCUUCAUUCUCUCUCUCUCUCUCUCUUGAAGCCAUGGUCACAAGCUAUUUUCUCUACCAACAGAGUACAAAGAAUCUCUCACAUAGAUGAUGCCAAUUUUAUGUACCCUGCUGAAAAUCCAUUUAAGAAGCAGAGACCUCCAAGUCGAGAAAUGCAGAUCAUCUUUGCCGACAAACUUUGCAGCAAAUGUCUUGCAUUUUAACAAUUCAUCAAUCAGCCCAAGGAUUGCUUGCCAUGGGGGGAAUACUUUCAACGACUUCGUGCUCUUAGCUCAUUUUGAGCUUCUCAUCCUCGC